rnacentral:rRNA from 1 species
AGUGAACGCUGGCGGUAGGCCUAACACAUGCAAGUCGAACGGCAGCACAGUAAGAGCUUGCUCUUACGGUUGGCGAGUGGCGGACGGGUGACGAAUACAUCGGAAUCUACUUUUACGUGGGGGAUAACGUAGGGAAACUUACGCUAAUACCGCAUACGACCUACGGGUUAAAGCAGGGGAUCUUCGGACCUUUCGCGAUUGAAUGAGCCGACGUCGGAUUAGCUAGUUGGCGGGGUAAAGUCCCACCAAGGCGACGAUCCGUAGCUGGUCUGAGAGGAUGAUCAGCCACACUGGAACUGAGACACGGUCCAGACUCCUACGGGAGGCAGCAGUGGGGAAUAUUGGACAAUGGGCGCAAGCCUGAUCCAGCCAUACCGCGUGGGUGAAGAAGGCCUUCGGGUUGUAAAGCCCUUUUGUUGGGAAAGAAAAGCAGCAGGUUAAUACCUGGCUGUUUUGACGGUACCCAAAGAAUAAGCACCGGCUAACUUCGUG